rnacentral:rRNA from 1 species
AGUGAACGCUGGCGGUAGGCCUAACACAUGCAAGUCGGACGGCAGCACAGUAAGAGCUUGCUCUUACGGGUGGCGAGUGGCGGACGGGUGAGGAAUACAUCGGAAUCUACUUUUUCGUGGGGGAUAACGUAGGGAAACUUACGCUAAUACCGCAUACGACCUACGGGUGAAAGCAGGGGAUCUUCGGACCUUGCGCGAUUGAAUGAGCCGAUGUCGGAUUAGCUAGUUGGCGGGGUAAAGGCCCACCAAGGCGACGAUCCGUAGCUGGUCUGAGAGGAUGAUCAGCCACACUGGAACUGAGACACGGUCCAGACUCCUACGGGAGGCAGCAGUGGGGAAUAUUGGACAAUGGGCGCAAGCCUGAUCCAGCCAUACCGCGUGGGUGAAGAAGGCCUUCGGGUUAUAAAGCCCUUUUGUUGGGAAAGAAAAGCAGCAGGUUAAUACCCCGCUGUUCUGACGGUACCCAAAGAAUAAGCACCGGCUAACUUCGUG